rnacentral:SRP_RNA from 1 species
GCCGGGCAUGGUGGUGCAUGCCUGUAAUCCCAGCUACUUGGGAGGCUGAGGCAGGAGAAUCGCUUGAGCUUGGGAGGCAGAGCUUGCAGUGAGCCGAGAUCAUGCCACUGCACUCCAGCCUGGGCGACAAAGUGAGACUCUGUCUCAA